GAGUUGAUUCCUGGCUCAGGAUGAACUAUGGCGGCGUGCCUAAUACAUGCAAGUCGAGCGAAUGGAUUGAGAGCUUGCUCUCAAGAAGUUAGCGGCGGACGGGUGAGUAACACGUGGGUAACCUGCCCAUAAGACUGGGAUAACUCCGGGAAACCGGGGCUAAUACCGGAUAAUAUUUUGAACUGCAUGGUUCGAAAUUGAAAGGCGGCUUCGGCUGUCACUUAUGGAUGGACCCGCGUCGCAUUAGCUAGUUGGUGAGGUAACGGCUCACCAAGGCAACGAUGCGUAGCCGACCUGAGAGGGUGAUCGGCCACACUGGGACUGAGACACGGCCCAGACUCCUACGGGAGGCAGCAGUAGGGAAUCUUCCGCAAUGGACGAAAGUCUGACGGAGCAACGCCGCGUGAGUGAUGAAGGCUUUCGGGUCGUAAAACUCUGUUGUUAGGGAAGAACAAGUGCUAGCUGAAUAAGCUGGCACCUUGACGGUACCUAACCAGAAAGCCACGGCUAACUACGUGCCAGCAGCCGCGGUAAUACGUAGGUGGCAAGCGUUAUCCGGAAUUAUUGGGCGUAAAGCGCGCGCAGGUGGUUUAUUAAGUAUGAUGUGAAAGCCCACGGCUCAACCGUGGAGGGUCAUUGGAAACUGGGAGACUUGAGUGCAGAAGAGGAAAGUGGAAUUCCAUGUGUAGCGGUGAACAUGCGUAGAGAUAUGGAGGCACACCAGUGGCGAAGGCGACUUGAUGUGAUGCAACUGACACUGAGGCGCGAAAGCGUGGGGAGCACACAGGAUGAGGAACCCGGGGAGGC
rnacentral:rRNA from 1 species